rnacentral:tRNA from 1 species
UUAAGGGAGACCUUACCCAUUCAUACAUCGAGUAUUGUUAUAGAUGAUGAUUGUGGUCAUCCCAAGGUCGUGACGUAGACUUAGGUAAUAACUUAGGCUUUCAAACAAUUAUAGGUUCGGUAAUUAAUUAAUGAAUAUAAGUUAAUUAGUUAAUUAAUUAUCACUUAUGGGCUAUUAGCUCAGGUGGUUAGAGCGCACCCCUGAUAAGGGUGAGGUCCCUGGUUCGAGUCCAGGAUGGCCCACCUGAAAUCAAUUCGCAAUUAACAAUUCGCAAUUCGCAAUUAAUAACUGGGAAUGAGAUGAGGAGAAUUGCAAAUUGUAUAUGGGGGUAUAGCUCAGUUGGUAGAGCGCUGCCUUUGCAAGGCAGAUGUCAGCGGUUCGAGUCCGCUUACCUCCACCAAAUUUUGGUUAAUAGUAAAUGGAAAAUACUUCAGCACCCAGACUUAAAUAUAGGAAUAUGAAAGUCGGAAUGCUGGAUUUUUUAUCCAGUCAGAACCUUGAAAACUGCAUAUUCACGCGAAAUAAUUUAGGUAGUCUUUAAUUACCUGGUGUAAUUAGAGAAAGUAUCUAGAUAUCCUAUUUUGUAAAAGCCAAUGAUUGAAUUGGAAAAUCUUUGU